rnacentral:rRNA from 1 species
UAGUCCACGCCGUAAACGAUGGAUACUAGCUGUUCGGUAGCAAUACUGAGUGGCUAAGCGAAAGUGAUAAGUAUCCCACCUGGGGAGUACGAACGCAAGUUUGAAACUCAAAGGAAUUGACGGGGGCCCGCACAAGCGGUGGAGCAUGUGGUUUAAUUCGAUGAUACGCGAGGAACCUUACCAGGGCUUAAAUGUAGUGGGACAGGCUUGGAAACAGGCCCUCCUUCGGGCUCAUUACAAGGUGCUGCAUGGUUGUCGUCAGCUCGUGCCGUGAGGUGUCAGGUUAAGUCCUAUAACGAGCGCAACCCCUGUUGUUAGUUGCCAGUGAGUAAUGUCGGGAACUCUAACAAGACUGCCGGUGCAAACCGUGAGGAAGGUGGGGAUGACGUCAAAUCAUCACGGCCCUUACGUCCUGGGCUACACACGUGCUACAAUGGCCGGUACAGAGAGCAGCCACUGGGCGACCAGGAGCGAAUCUAUAAAGCCGGUCACAGUUCGGAUUGGAGUCUGCAACCCGACUCCAUGAAGCUGGAAUCGCUAGUAAUCGGGUAUCAGCCAUGAUCCGGUGAAUACGUUCCCGGGCCUUGUACACACCGCCCGUCAAGCCAUGGAAGCUGGGGGUACCUGAAGUCGGUGACCGCAAGGAGCUGCCUAGGGUAAAACUGGUAACUGGGGCUAAGUCGUAACAAGGUAACC